ensembl:piRNA 21ur-9356 ncRNA
UAAAUUAAUUUUCUACGGUUU